rnacentral:rRNA from 1 species
CCUACGGGAGGCAGCAGUGGGGAAUAUUGCACAAUGGGGGAAACCCUGAUGCAGCGACGCCGCGUGAGUGAAGAAGUAUUUCUGUAUGUAAAGCUCUAUCAGCAGGGAAGAAAAUGACGGUACCUGACUAAAAAUCCCCGGCUAACUACGUGCCAGCCGCCGCGGUAAUACGUAGGGGGCAAGCGUUAUCCGGAUUUACUGGGUGUAAAGGGGGCGUAGACGGACAGACAAGUCAGAAGUGAAAGCCCAGGGCUCAACCCUGGGAUUGCUUUUGAAACUGCCGGGCUGGAGUGCAGGAGAGGUAAGCGGAAUUCCUAGUGUAGCGGUGAAAUGCGUAGAUAUUAGGAGGAACACCAGUGGCGAAGGCGGCUUACUGGACUGUAACUGACGUUGAGGCUCGAAAGCGUGGGGAGCAAACAGGAUUAGAUACCCCUGUAGUC